rnacentral:rRNA from 1 species
GAUGAACGCUAGCGGCAGGCCUAACACAUGCAAGUCGAGGGGCAUCAUGGCGGUCGCUUGCGACCGCUGAUGGCGACCGGCGCACGGGUGCGUAACGCGUAUCGAACCUGCCGCAUACCCGGGGAUAGCCUUGCGAAAGCAAGAUUAAUACCCGAUGUUCUCACUGUUCCGCAUGUUACGGUGAGCAAAGAAUUUCGGUAUGCGAUGGCGAUGCGUCCCAUUAGCUAGUUGGCGGGGUAACGGCCCACCAAGGCUCCGAUGGGUAGGGGUUCUGAGAGGAAGGUCCCCCACACUGGAACUGAGACACGGUCCAG